UACGUAGGAUCCAAGCGUUUGUCCGGGAUUUACUGGGUGUAAAGGGUGCGCAGGCGGACUUGUUAGUCAGAGGUGAAAUCUCACUGCUCAACAGUGAAACUGCCUUUGAUACUGCAGGUCUUGAAUCCAGAAGAGAGUUGUGGAAUUCCGAGUGUAGCAGUGAAAUGUGUAGAUAUUCGGAAGAACACCAGCGGCGAAGGCAGCAACUUGGUCUGGUAUUGACGCUCAGGCACGAAAGCAUGGGGAUCAAACAGG
rnacentral:rRNA from 1 species